rnacentral:rRNA from 1 species
AGUGAACGCUGGCGGUAGGCCUAACACAUGCAAGUCGAACGGCAGCACAGUAAGAGCUUGCUCUUACGGGUGGCGAGUGGCGGACGGGUGAGGAAUACAUCGGAAUCUACUUUUUCGUGGGGGAUAACGUAGGGAAACUUACGCUAAUACAGCAUACGACCUACGGGUGAAAGCAGGGGAUCUUCGGACCUUGCGCGAUUGAAUGAGACGAUGUCGGAUUAGCUAGUUGGCGGGGUAAAGGCCCACCAAGGCGACGAUCCGUAGCUGGUCUGAGAGGAUGAUCAGCCACACUGGAACUGAGACACGGUCCAGACUCCUACGGGAGGCAGCAGUGGGGAAUAUUGGACAAUGGGCGCAAGCCUGAUCCAGCCAUACCGCGUGGGUGAAGAAGGCCUUCGGGUUGUAAAGCCCUUUUGUUGGGAAAGAAAAGCAGCAGGUUAAUACCCCGCUGUUCUGACGGUACCCAAAGAAUAAGCACCGGCUAACUUCGUG